UGGGGAAUUUUGGACAAUGGGGGAAACCCUGAUCCAGCCAUCCCGCGUGUGCGAUGAAGGCCUUCGGGUUGUAAAGCACUUUUGGCAGGAAAGAAACGUCGCGGGUUAAUACCCCGCGAAACUGACGGUACCUGCAGAAUAAGCACCGGCUAACUACGUGCCAGCAGCCGCGGUAAUACGUAGGGUGCAAGCGUUAAUCGGAAUUACUGGGCGUAAAGCGUGCGCAGGCGGUUCGGAAAGAAAGAUGUGAAAUCCCAGAGCUUAACUUUGGAACUGCAUUUUUAACUACCGGGCUAGAGUGUGUCAGAGGGAGGUGGAAUUCCGCGUGUAGCAGUGAAAUGCGUAGAUAUGCGGAGGAACACCGAUGGCGAAGGCAGCCUCCUGGGAUAACACUGACGCUCAUGCACGAAAGCGUGGGGAGCAAACAGGAUUAGAUACCCUGGUAGUCCACGCCCUAAACGAUGUCAACUCAGCUGUUGGGGCCUACGGGCCUUGGUAGGCGCAGGCUAACGCGUGAAGUUGACCGCCUGGGGAGUACGG
rnacentral:rRNA from 1 species